GAGACAUUCUAAAAGGGACCGACACAAGCGUGGUAAAAGGAGGGACAAGAGACAUGCGAAGAGGCGCAGGAAGCAUGAUAAGAAGUCCAAAUGCAAAUCGAAAAGGGGGUCGGAUAGUGUUAGCGAGAGUGCAAGUGAAAAUGAACAUGGUUCUGAAGACAAUGGUGAUGCUAGGAAGCUAAAUCAGAAGCAUAAUAACUCGACUAAUAUCACUGAUGGCAAUCAGUCUCCUUCAGAGUUCUGGUAUGUAACUGUAAUUUACAUUUUCUUUAUUCUUUUAAUUAGAGCUGGGAGAUUUGGUGUGGUUGCUA